GUCUGGGUCGCCAUGGGGUAGUGGUGGGGGCGGAAGGACGGUCAUCAUCUAGGGAAUACUCGACCAACCGACGCCAAAGUGAAGUCAAACCCCCGAUGAUUCUACCCAGUCGUCGACCCGUCUCUGUUCUAACCUAGUUUGAAUUGUCGACUACUGUAUCGCUCGCGAAAGAUGAAGAGCGAGGACGAGAGGGGACAACAGAGGAUGACCCUAACGUAGAAGGCGUUCUAUUCUAUGAGGAAGUCUGGGCUCACCCACAUCGUAAGACGCGGUUGGCGAAGACGUGAUCAACCAGGCCCUCAUUUAGCCGGCCGGGCAUCCUUCUUUCGUAGAUCUGUCCUCAGGUUAUUGAUACAUGAAACGUCUAAAACCAAAAGGCAUUAAUAUUGACCAUCGCCUCAAAUCGACUCUAUCAUCAUCAGUUAUCGUUCGUCAGUGUCACCAGUACCUCUUUCGACGCCCGUUAGUCCGUCCCUUUCAGAACUUCUUCCCUUUCUUCUUUGUCCGCUUUCUACUCGACCUGGCGGUCUUCGUCCGACUCUUCUUCUCCGCAGCCGAUCUCUUUCGCGAACGUUUGAGACGACGGUAGUAAAGUCUCGAUCUCUUCUUCUUCGUCUUCUUCUUUCUCCUUGUCCUUUCCGACCUGCUCCUUCCGCGAAGCUAUCGGCUUCGUCAACGAGAAGUACAAGAGUAUCCACUCCUGAGGCUACUUAGGGCGGUAGACCACGACUUGUUCGUGUCUUCUACGUUGCUGACCCUGGGGAGCCGACCAAACCUAAAGUGAGACCUGUGCGUUCCGCGUCGACUAUAGAUGAGGGGACCACCUGAGUACACGCCGUUAGUUCGAAUACGAAGGUCGCCCUCCACCUAGCUGACCCCCUUGCGAGUAGGGGACGGUUGGACCCCUCUUCACUCCCUGGACUUUCGCAGGAUGAUGGUUCCUUGCGAGGUGGUCAGUUGUCAGCGGACGGGUCCGAUGUACCGACGGGUCCGGCAGAGUAGCGACGUCUAGGCUCUUCUGAGUAGGAGAGGUCCGGUCCCUCAGCGGCGGCGCUGGCAGCAAUUAUCCUACGAGCCGCCUUGGUUGUCCGAGUUGGAAAUGUCCCUCUAUACUUUUUCCUUCUAUAUAUGUUGGUUGGAGCAGCAGUAUCACCAAAACAUGUAUUAUCAGUGGCUUCCACACGACUGAUAAAACGGACGCACGUCGACAAGGUCGAUAGUCCUCUUAGACUACCGCGUUGAACAAGGCGGGAAAACAAAAGCAGUCAGCCACAUUAUCCUAUAAAACGCAGACGAUAACAACCAUAACAUUACCUUGUUUAUACUAAAGCUAAGAGAACGACGAUCGACCCAAAAGAGAGCUUUCAGAUAUAUAUCAAGGUAGAAAAACACAAAGGAGGGCUUUAUUUUCCACGGACACCU
rnacentral:rRNA from 1 species